rnacentral:sRNA from 1 species
ACCUUCACUGCAUCCUUUAAACAACCCUUAAGUACACUAUGCCAACCCAGAGUAGCUGUCCUGUGUCUCAGCUGUCCUGAUGCUGCCCUCUGUGCCAUCAUGGUAAUUUCAGGUUUUGGUUUGUUUGUUUAGCCAGUUAAACCCCUCCACUGUGUUUAUUCUUGAGCAAAGGUGUUUUGUUUGCUCUAGUUAGAUGUUAACAGUUGAGAUAAAAGAUUUCAAAACCAAAUAUUCCUGCCAGUCAUGUGACUGGGUCUUUUCUGUUGCCAGGCUGUAGCUGAGUUUGCCAGGAGUGAUGGAGAUCCCUCAUGUGUGGGAGCCCCUGGUGUGAUGUGAGGAAGGGCCCCACCUUCUUAACCUUUGUUUAAAUAUAUCUUUGAGACCUGUACCUUGCUGUGUGCACAGUCCCCCAAUGGCUCUGAUCAUCUGCCUCCGGUAACUGCUGUUUCUUCUUGACUUGACCUUUGUACAUCAUGAGAUCUUGACCUUUGUACAUCAUGAGAUUUAGUUCCAGGCAAACCUCACUUGGACUUGGUAAAAACUAAAGCAAGAAUUCUCUGUGCUGACAGCAAUUAACACUACCAAAUAGAGGUAAAAGGCAGAUUGUGAAACUUAAAUUCCUGUCUUUUAUAAGAACCAGUACUAAUUUACAAUACAUUUAGAAGUAUAUCACUUUUCUUACCAAUUUAUUUAUUCACUUUAUCUCCUGAUCACAGCCCCCUACCUCCUUACUCCCAUCCAACCCUUAUAAAUCCCCCCAUUAUCCCCUCCCCUUCUCCAAAGGGAAGGCCAUCCUUGUGUACCACCAUGCCCUAGGACAUCUAAUAGAAGCAGGACUAAGUUCAUCCGUUCCCAUUGAGGUGUCACCCGGCAGUCCAGCUAGAGGAAGGGGACGGGUCCGAUGGCAACUUAGUCACAAACAGCCCCUGCUUCAGUUAUUCGGGGACUCACAUGAAGACCAAUCUGCACAUCUGCUAGAAAUGUGUAUGGCACCUAGGUCAGCCCUGCACACGCUGUGUUUGGUGGUUCAGUCUCUAUAAGCUCCUAGGACCCCAGUUAGUUGCCGUUGUAGAUCUUGUGGGAUUGCCCAGUUCUGUGUCCCACUCUUCCACAAGACUACCAGGGCUGCUUCUAUUGUUUGGCUCUGGGUCUCUGCAUCUGUUCCAUCAGCUGUGGAUGAGGUCUCUCAAAAGACAGUUAUGCUAGGCUCCUGUCUGUAAACAUAGCAGAGCAUCAUUAAUAGUGUCAGAAGUUGGUCUCUCUCAUGAAGUGGGUCUCAUCUUGGACCAGUCAUUGAUUGGCAGUUCCCUUAGUCUCUGCUUCAUCUUUUUCCCUGCACAUCUUGUAGGCAGGACAUAUUUUGGGUUGAAGGUUUUGUGAGUGAACUGAUGACUUCCUCCGUCCACUGGAGGAAGUUCUGUCUGACUACAAGAAGUGGCCAUUUCAGCCUUUAUAUCUCCAGUUGUUUGGGAGUCUUAGCUAGGAUUACCCCAUAGACUCCCAGGAGACUUUGCACCUUUAAAGUAGACAUUCCUCUUAAUUAAUAGCUAUGUGGUGUGGUGUGAAGUGCUUGUAUGUGCAUUUGUAGGCUAGGCCAGACAUGGUGAUGCAUACCUUAAUUCUAGCACUCUGAGUACAGAAGCAGCAGGAUCAGCCUGAUGUAUAUAAUAAGUUCCAGAUCAGCCAGGGCUACAUAGAGGAACCUUGUCUCAAAAAAACCCCAAUGAAUUUUUUUUUUCAGAAAAAGUAUCAUUGUCACUUCUAUUUCUCCUUUAAUGGAGAACCAAGUACAAUGCUCAAAGAGAUACUUCAAUUCAAAGAAAUUGGCACAUUAAAAUCUCAGAAUAAUAAUAUUGUAUAUCAAGAAUGUAGUGUAGGCUUUUAGUGCACAUGAUAAUUCCGUGCCUAUCAGUUAUUUUGAAGGUGAUGUCUCCAUAUCAAGACACUGAUUUUCCCUCCAUGAAGAAAUCUCAUAGAACACAAACAUGGAGAUCUACAUGUAUUUUAAACCAGGAGAAUGCAAGCUGUGAAGUCUGUACAGGAGUACAACUGUGCCAUACCAAACACAGACGUCGUCUUUCUGGUUUAAUGAGUCCAUAGAGUGGAGAAUAGAAGCAUGUCAGAGACUAGGAAAGAGAAGUCACCUGAUGCGGCUGGGGAAUACAUGGAGGCCUGACAACCAGGCACACGCUUCACUGAAACUGCUUCACUUUGGGCCACAAAUGUACACAAAAGCAAGUGGACAACUUUUGUUACCUAACGCCUUUUAUAAGCUUUGCUCUGAAAGGAAGCAAAGCAUUUCUGAAGCCAUGAGCAGUCUGUUAGCCAUGUCAUGGUAAGACCUUUGUUCAUAGAGAGGCGCUGAUAGCCUUAGAAUAAAAGAGCCUGGCUCAUCCUAAUGUUCCUGACGUUCUGAGCAAACGCUGCAUGUGGCCUGCUUUGGGAACGCAGUUCUUUUCUGAUUGAUUUUUCAAGGCAGGUUUUCUCUGUGUAGCCUCAGCUAUCUUGGAACUCACUCUGUAGGCCAGGCUGGCCUCAAAUUCAUAGCAAUCCACCUGUCUCUGCCUCUGAGUGCUGGGAUUGAUGACAAGUGCCACCAUGCCUGGCAAGAAAACAGAUCUUUAAAGGAAAGAUAAGAGUCAUUUUGGUCGUAGCCCCUUUGUGUAUAUGCAGCACUAGUACACAGAACACAGUUUUGGUAUUAUUAAAAGGAAAUAUCACACAAUUAUCUGUUACAACAUAGCAUAUAAUUAUCUGAGUAAAUAUAGUAUUAAUUGACAUGAUUAGUAUUGGGGUGCGCGUGUAGGAGUGUUCAUGCCACGACACGCAUGUGGAGAGGUCAGACUACAACUUGCAGGAGCUGCUUCUUGUCUUCCACCUCGCUUUGUGGCCAAGUCUCUCUUUCUACCACUCACUGUCUAUACCAGGCUAGCCUUCCCAUAAGAUUCUCUGUCUCUGCCUCCCAUCUCAAUGUAGAGACCCCAAGAUUAUAGACACUGCAGCACCUGACUUAUCACAUGGCUUCCAAGGAUCUGAACUCUAACCAUCAGGCCACAGGGUAAAACCUGAGCCAGAGCCAUCUAUCUCCUUGGCUCAUAGUAGACUUUUUAAUGAUCCAGGUUCAGAAAAUAAAAAGACGAUUACCCAAAUAAAUUACUAAAACCUCACAUAGAUUUGUGGAGGAGCUCCAUGACAGAAUGGCUUGCCUAACCUGUGCCAAGGCCUGUGUUUGGUUACUAUUGAGUCAAACCCUAAAUCAGUUGAACAGCGAGACUGCACAAGGAUAAGGUGUCUCGGGGCCCUGAUUCUCAAGUUUCUGUGUAAACGAUAAGAGAAGAGGCGAGUAGUCAAGAAGUGAGGUGUUGAGGGAAAGAGGUGUAUGCAGUUCAGUGAUAAUAUGCCACAUAGCACACAUGAGACCCCGGAUUCCAUUUCAGCAAAGGUGACUGUGUGGGUUGGGGUGGUGGUAGUGCAGGGGCUGGAGAUGGAUAGGUUCAGAUCAGACCUUUGCCUCCUACUUGCUUUUUAACUUGAGUCAAGUUCUUGGACUCAGUUCUUGGUCUCUAGUGUAAGGUCUACAGUUGUGUAGAUGGAAUAGGGCUCGUGAUAUAGCAUAUUUAUAAUAAGUCCCGCCCUCUGUAAGUCCCUAGGUUUGACCUCCAAUUUUGGGUGAUGGGAUGAGUGUAAUGAGCCAGCAUUUAUAGAGCUUUGGCAUAUGCUUACUUUUGCCUUCAUGUUAAAGAACAAAUGGGAGUGUUCAGGACGCCAAUGCUACACAGAGAAACCCUGUCUCAAAACAAACAAACAAACAAACAAACAAACAAAACAAAAACCAGAUAAACAAACUGGAAAAAAAAACCCAAACCAACCAAACCAAAAAGUCAUAAAACAAACAAGUAAUUGGUGGACAGUUUUCAUCAUGAGUCAUGCAGGAUUCUCAUCAGCUGCCAGGUAAAACUGAUGAGAAUUAUUUUUAAAAGACUAUAAACUGAUCCUAUGGACAAGCAGCAAAUGAAAGAAAACAUUUAUUCAAGAACAUCUAUGAAAAUUUACCAAGAAAUGAGAGUCUGGGUUCUUGAGCCAGUCCUAUGCAAGGUGCUGCAGCCUCCCCAAGUCUCCCGUCCACUCACUGUGUGCACACAGGCUGGCAAGGUCGGGGUGGAUUCCAAUCUGGACAUAGAGUGAGGUCUUCUUAGUACUGGAUCUGGAUAGGUGACUGUCUUCCCAGGAAGAGCAGAACAUUAAUGUUUGUCAUCUUUCUCCUUAACUGUCGGGGAGGCUGUGUCUGGAAGAGUGCAGUUGAGGUGGGGUCUCCCUUUUGUCUGGAGAAGCACAUCACUCAGUUCAUGAGACAGUGGUUUUGUGCCAGUUGGGCUGAGGUGACGUCAAGCCACCUUCCCAUUUCCCUUAAUUUCUCUUCAGCUCCCAGAGUUUGAUUGUUGCCCAGAAGUUGCCUUUGACUCCAUAUCUAGCUCUAGUCAUUAACUCAGAGGAAAGAAAACCAGACCAUAAUGCAGACAGGUAGAUCCCAAUGUCUUCUCAAAGGAUCUGCCUCCAUUUACAAGUGGGAGAGAAGGUCAAGCAUUGCAACCUCAGUAACAGAGGCUGUGCGGAGAGGCACCUGAGGAGAUAGGUCCUUGCAGCUGUCAGCUCUCAGCCUGAUGGCCUGCAGCAGAGUCCCGCAGGCAAGACCUCUGGAAAGAGCUUUCCUGAGUCAGAAGUUGAAAAAAAAAAAAAAGAAAGAAAAAAAUGUUUGGCUAAGAAAAGACUUCAGUUCAAACUGAACUGGAGAUCCCAGGAUUUGCCAGGCUGUUUUGCCCAGAAGAGAGGACCCAAAUCCUAAGAAUAUGGAUAGAGUCAACUCUAGGUGGUGAGAAGGAACAAAGCAAUAAAGAAGCCUUGGAGGUGGGAAGUGUAUCAGAAACUUAGGGUUCUCCAGUCCGCCAUCUAGAAUACCCAGUGUUCAACCAAAGCAACAGCACCGCCAAACAGCAAAAGUACGCACAGUUGCUGGACAGAUGCAGAGCACAAGGAAUUGACUAGUACGCAGGUAGAUGCUGGGUUUACGAGAAGAAAACCUUUUAGAAAAACAUAAAGAUGCUCACAGCCACAGGGGGACUCACAGUUGAAGAGACAGUGGUAAAUGAAGGUCACAUGAUGUCACUUCAGAUAAGGAAUACUAACCAGAGACGUUAUUUAAAAGCAAACAAAAUUAUGGGGCUGGGAAAUAAGUAAAUCAUUAGAAAGCCUCAACAACAGUGUUGAACUGUCAGACAGAAGAAACCCAGACUCAAGGAUAGAUGGGAAAGAUCGCCCACACUGAGGUACAGAGACGAGAAGAAGGAACCAAAGGCAGCUUCUGGAGUUGGUGUCCGUCAGGAGCAUCGUCUGCACUGUGGGAGGAGACAAAGCAUCUUCUGUGCACAGUGGGGAGUAUCAGGAGUGUAUAUAGAGACAGGCAGAAACUGUAAGGAAAAAUGGCUAUGAAACCAGCAGAUGUUCUGAAAAAACAGCAGCCCGUGUGUCCAGGAACCUCAAGGCCUUUGAAAUACAGACACCCACAAAUAGGUACAUCUCAGGGAGAACUGGUGCGGCCACACAAAGGAGGAAUUUUGUGAUGUUAAAAGAAGACAUGGAUGUUUUUUCUUUUGAUGUCUAUGCUUCAGUGGCAGAAAUUAUACAAGUGUGAUCAGGUUAAAUAUCAUGAAUUAAAAUACAAAGAGUUGGAAGUCUACAUGAGAUUGAAAACCAAGUGUGUUGGGCUCGAGAAGGCCAGAUAAAGUCCAGGAAUAUGGUUCCCAACAUGUCAGCUGCUGGUUACAUGCUGCUGUUCUCUUUGGAAAUGUAGCAGGUUCAACUGUGGAACUGAAGUUUGAAUUUUAGAUUAGUUACAGUGGCAUUUGAAUGGUAGCUAGAGCAUUGUACAAGAGGUUAUUUUGCUGGUGCAGGGUUUAGCAUGAUCACUCUCACUCUGGCCCCAAGUGUAAGAGAAAUCCCCCCGAGCCACUCAGAUGUGAUUGCUGGAAGGACUUACAGAACUCACAGCUGUGCCCUCUUCCAGGGAAAGGAUAUCGGGAAAACCAGCCAAGGAAGGUGUACAGCCGGACCAGAAGUGCUGGUACAGCGUCUUCAUUGUCCUUUGCCUAGUGUGCUUUGACUCGAGUGUGUGACAGCAUGACAGAAUAUUACUUCAGGGAGGCUCGGCCUUUGCGUCCACAGUCUUAUUUUAUGCACACCUGAUUGGUUGGUCAGUCGGUCAGUUAUUUGAUUGGUUGAUUGAUUGGUUGGUUGGUUGGUUGAUUGGUUGGUUCAUUGAUUGCCCAUGCAGUUGACCUCAAUUUUCAGGACGAUUGACAUGAUGUCCCAGAGUCCUACACUUAAUUUCACAUGGUUGGUCUUUCUAGUGUUCCUAUUUUAUUAUUAGACCUUCUGGCAAGUCUGAGGCUCCCAGGCAAAUACAGACCUCACUCCAUCCCAAAACCAAGGGGAGGGCAGAGCUUUUCUUCAGGCAAGGCCACAGCCUGAGUCCAUACACUGUUCAGAACUUCCGUAUUUAAGUGCACCCUAUUUUGAAAGCACUAAAUGCAUUUCACUUUGGCCAUUGUCAGUUUAGCGUUUGACUGGUAGACUUAGAAGUCUGGACUUCUAAGACUUGGUGUGCUUGUAAGCAGAAGAGAGCCAGUCUCACUGCUAAUCUCUAUGUCGUUCACAUAGCGAAAAGUGUUCGAGAAGUUACUGAGGUCCAGUUCAAAGUGAGUGAGUGGCACUGCUCACUGUCUGCUGUAAUUGCUAUCAGUUAUGUAAAUGCACUUCUGUGAUGCCAAUCUAGAAGCUGUGAUGAGUCUGCGCUCCACACUGAGAAUGCCUGACCAGGAACCUCAACUGGGGAAUGCUUCGAAAUCAGACGCCUUUGAGUGCCAAUAUGAUUUGUUUUUGUUUUUGUUUUUGUUUUUGUUUGUUUUGUUUUGUUUUGUUUUGAAGCAUUUUAGGUUUUUAGAUGAGAGAUGAUAUCUGGUAAAAGUUAUAUAAGUAUUCAAAAUAAAAAUAAAGGCUGAAAUUGGAAAUUCUGGUCUCAAGCAUUUCCAAUAAAGGGCAGUCUAUCUGCCCUGGAGUUUGAUGGCAGAGGUAGACCAGCAAGAGAAGUACUAGCUUCUAGCAUCACAGCUCUAUAGUGUGGCCAUGUAGGGGUGCUGAGCUCAGAGGGGACCUCCCCAAAUGCAGGGAUAGAAGGAAGCUGUCUGGUCGGUCUCACUAGCUAUGUUUAUGCUGGCCUUGCCUAGGGAACCAGAGACUGGAGUACACUUGACAUCUCCACUACUGCAGUCCUCUCACCCAGCUCCUGCAGCUUGCUCACCAAGUCUGUCCCAUGAGGGCUUAGAACACAUAGCCCUAUCUCUAUAUCUUCUCCACUGUAGUUCCUAAUACAUUCUCCUCUCCUGCUCCUUUUACAUUUGGCUGUUCUUUGUGCUCCACUGUAAGGUCUAGAUAUUGUCCCAUUUCUUUCUGCUACCCUCUUUUCCCAUGUGUCUCCCACUUACUUCAGAAUCUUUCCUGCAUUUCUUAUUAGAGACAACUGUAUCGGAACUUCAUUUUCCUACAGCUUACUAUUCUGUAUCUCAUGUUUGCUUUAGUUUUCUUCUUCGCUUUUUAUAACCAAUUCACAUUCACCCAUAUACUCAGUCACACAGUUAUUAGUUAGUGUAUAGUAUUUUUAUGCUCUGCGUGUACGUGCCAGGUCUCCACAUCGAGGUCAUUGGACAACUCUAUGGAAUCUCUUCCACCCUUCUGCCUCCAUGUGAGAUUCAGGGGCUGAAAGCAGGCCAUUAUGUUCCCAACCUACCGAGUCCUCUAACACCCUCGCUUGCUUACAUCUGACUUACCAAAGUACAUCUUGACAGUAAGGAGUUUGUCUUUUAUUUUUGGUUCUAGAAAGCCAACAUAAUCCUUAUACUCCAUGGGCAAGAGGUAUACUGAGCCAUAUCAGAAGAGUAUACUGAGCCAUAUCAUAGGAGGUAUACUGAGCCAUAUCACAGGAGGUAUACUGAGCCAUAUCACAGGAGGUGUACUGAGCCAUAUCAGAAGAGUAUACUGAGCCAUAUCAUAGGAGGUGUACUGAGCCAUAUUACAAGAGGUAUACUGAGCCAUAUCACAAGCCAGGAUUCUAUAAGUUUUGGUCCUUGUCAAUUCUCAGAAUGGUUCCCACAGAAACCAACUACUUAUAGAUCAGCCGAAUGAGAGGAGUGAGUGCAAUUGGACUGAUGAACAGUAUUACAGUCUUGGCCUGCUCUUCUUGUUCAAUGGGUGUCUGACACAGCAUGCAUGUAUUUCAAGUCAAGCAGAGAAUGGUCAUUUUUUUUCUGCUUACUUACUUUAGGUAUGUGAGUUUUGACAUAGGGGAGAAACACGUUUUGUAUUUACUAUUUGAGUGUACAGAGAAAAGGAAGCAUAUAGGAGGUUUGACUUGGAAAUAGUGGAGGGGAUUACGGACUUAGUGAAAUGAAUAUUGCUUCUUAGCACUGCAUUGUAAAAGGGCAGCCAUGACAGUGUGGUUCUUCCAGUAGGAUUGAGGAACUACCUAGGUUUGCAGAUCACUAAAUUCACAAUUCAAAACUCCCCCAAUAUGAUUUCUUGAGAUACAUUUCCUUAAACUUCCUAUCAUGUGCUCUUAAAACCAGCACUUUGUCAAAUAAAGCUCUCUGGAUGCCAGCAGAACCCAAGGCAUUUAAGACAAAGUGCUAAUUUAAGAGGAAUCUGCUGAAGUGUGAGUGAUUGACUCUCACUUACUUAAGAUAAUAUUUCCCAAUUGUUAGUUCAGUUUUAAAAGGGAUAAUUUUUAUCUGUCUCAGACAAUUCCUAAAUAAGUGAGACAGAGACUGUAAGAUUUAUUUAACCAAGCUUUAUGGCAGAAAAUCUGAGCAUUUAUUGACUUAUUUUAAUCCUGUGAGCUAACCUGGCUACCUCCCAAUCAGAGUGCCCGAGAUACUUGCAUUUGCCAUUGGUUUAGCUCUCUCUGCUCAGGUGUGUUCUCAGGAUGUCUCUCCAACUCUCUCCUUAUAGACACCACCCACCCCCACUCCCACCCCCACCCCCUGGCUGGGAUUGGAAGUCCAGUCUUACCCUCUUCCCUGCUCAUUGGCUUUUAUUGACAAAUCAGAGAAUGAAUGGGGAGUAAUGUUUACAUAACAUUGAGACAGAGAUUCUUAGAAUAAGCAUUGCAGUGCCAUGUCUGGAUUGCAACCAGAUAUGGGGGCAGAGAAAUGAGCAUUGAAUAAUAAAGGAUAACCUUUACACAGUGCACAAUAACAUGCCCACACUCAGUGGUGCCAACAUGCAUGAAACCCAGGAACUCCCACAAACAGAUUUAUUUAUGCCAUGGAGCAUUCAGAGUCUGCCAGUAGGGCAGGAAGUGGUAAGGGCAAAGUUGUAUAACCAUUGCAUGCUAUACACCGAGGUCCAUGUUCCAUUGAGAACUUUUAUAUUGUUACUUUCUAGAUGGUCAGGGACAUUAGCAUAGGCACAUAUAUGUGCUAGCUUGCUGUCACUUUUAAAAACAUGUUAUUUUAACCAUACACAUUCUUUGUAUCCUUCUAAACAAAACUCGUGUUGUCCCACCGAGUGUUUAUUCUUUUUGACUAUGAAGACUAGUUAUCUGUGCAGGCAGGCCUUACAGUGGAGGCAGAUAACCACACCACCGAGCUUAUCUGCUCACUGAUCAGACAGUAGCAGCCAUUUCCUCCCCAGUCAUUUGUUCGUCUGUCGUUUGAUUUUCUCAAUAUCUUACAUAGCUCAUUUAUGUUGUACUCUGUGCAGGACGCUGCAGAGGCCACUGUGCCUUCUCAGCGCUUCACUCAGAACGAGGUUGGCAGUUUUCUGAUCAAGAUGUUAUUUGUGCCAUGUGUGCUUGGUGCACGCAGAGGCCCGAGGUUGGUGUUGGCUGCUUUCCUUUCUCUCUACCAUAGUUUUGAAAUACAGUCUCUCAGUACCUGUAACUCACUGUUUCAGCAGGACUCGGGGGGUAGUGAGCUUCAGGAAUCCUCCUGUCUCCACCUUCCAGGGGGUCGGAUUACUGGCGUGUACCAAAGCCAACAUUUUACAUGGCUACUCAGGGUGUGAGCUUGGGUCCUCCUGCUUGCACAGCGGGCACUUUACUGACUGAACCAUCAUCUCCUCAGCCUGCUGUUUGUGGGGUUUUUUUCAUGGAAGGUUUUUGGGAUAAGGCCUCAUUGUGGAGCUCGCCAUCCUCCUGCCUCCUAAGUGCUGCUGGGACUUUGGGUACUUGCCAUCAUAACCAUGCCAAAUACUUCUUUGCUGAAUUUAGUAUAUGUAUGUUCCAAAGGAAUUUUUCUGUUUUGUGUGUGUACAUAAGUAUACAUGUAUAUGUGUCUAUGUAUAUCUGUAUACACACAUUUUUCCUGAGAGACUUUUCAAACUAUGUUUUAACCCUUUUAGGAAAAUGUAGUCUUCCUUAUCCAGGUAAUAGGGCCAAAGUAUUUAAUCAUAUCCUUUAUUGACAUCUAUAAAGAGUUUUUCAUUUUAUAUUUGUAAUUAAUACAUCAAUUUCAAUAUAUCUUCAAAAUUUGAUGUCUUGAAGAUAUUCCAGCUGACAUUCCAUUUUUUAAAAAAGCUGUAAAAUAUUCAGUACACAGAAUUAUUUUGACCAUUUUUAGUAACAUUAAUAAUAACACUGCUAUCCCAUCAUCUAUAAACUUUGUAUUCUAUAGAAUGGAAACUCUAGGUCUUAAUCACUGACCACUGAUCUGUCCCUCCAAAGCAUUGUCCUUCCUUCUGUUCUGACCUUAACUGCUCUAGGGACAUAUGUAAAUGAAAUCACCCUGUAUUGUCCUUCUGGGACCAAAGCUGGUGUCCCUUAACAUGAUGUUCGUGUGUCAGACUCAUCAAGGGCACAUUUCAUGUGUUUGUCUAGUUAUGGACCCACGCUUCGGUCCUGAUGUUGAUACUAGUGAGCAGUGAUGUACCAGGGAAGUCCAUUUCACUGUGAGCAUGUUCACUAGAUGGAAGGGAGAAGGGUCUCGGGUAAACCCUGAUGCCCUCACCACCCAGGUUUGACAAUUACCAACAUUAUGCUAAUGCUGUUGUUUCUUUUUCCCAGCUGUUUUAUAUUUGCAAUUUUGAAUAUUUCUGAUUAAAUUCAAGGAGUUUAUCGUUUUACUCAUAAAUACUGUUUUCCUUUCAUGUAAGGGACUUUAAGCAGCUUGGUCAUAACACCUAUCUUAAGGGUACUGCCUUUUGCUUUGUUUUUGAGACAGGCUCACUGCGUGGCCACAGCUGGCCUGGAGCACUGAAUCUUCUUCCUCAGGCUCCCAAGUCCUUAGAGCGUAAGCCUGUGCUCCCCCUCCCUGUAGUAACGUCUUAGUCUAGAUAUUUUGCAGCUUUAGACUAGGUUUAGUGUUUAGGUCUUACCUUAAAGACUCUUUCCAUCCCUUUGCUCGCCUUCUCCUGAGCGCUCUUCAGCACAGCAAUCAUGGCUACGUCUUUGUCUGUUAGCUCCAAAGAUCUCAAUCUUUCACUCCUGUUUUCACUUUUUGUAAACACGUUUCAUUUAUUUUGUGUGUACGUGCCACAGCACACACGGAGGUCAGACGGACGGCCAGUCGGGGCCGGUCUCCCUCCACCAUAUGAAUACCAGCCUUUGACUGUGGUCACCAGCCUUGACAGCAAGCACUUCUGCCUGCCAACCACCUUGCCACUUCUGCUGCUUCCCGUUGUUGUCAUUGUCACUGUGGGGCAGGAAAAGUGAUCACUGCAGUGGUUCUGGUGUUACCUUGGGUGGUGCACUUUGUUUUGUCAGGUGAUUUAAUGGCAGGCCAGCCAUCCUGAGCCCACUGCAGCUCCAGUGUGUGCUUCCGUUUUCAUUUUAUCCUUGCUCCAAAGGGCUAGUUUUCUGGACUGUUCACCAAGCUGCUCAUCUGAACUUGAAGGAGGACUCCAGGAUCUUCUGGGCGAGGUGGCGUCUCUGAGCAGUUCUGGCUUCUUGGGCUCCUGGCAGCUGCUCGCUCCCUGCCCCACCUCCUACUCUUAACGUUGAGUGCAUACAGCUAGGGGCUUAGCUGUGGCUCUGAGUAGGAUUGCCAUGGCUAGGUUUUAAAUUUUAAACAUGUAGCUCAGGAUAGCCUCAAACCUGCACCCUCCUGCCUCUCCCCACAUGCUGCAGUUACACGUAUGCAUUUUCAUGCCUUCUUCUUUGCUAAUUUUUAAUGUUUUUUUUUUUUUUUCAGUUUUCUUCUCCUUUGCCCUUCUGUAUUAUUACUUUUCUCGUUUCUGUAAUAAAAUCCUGGACAAGAAGCAACUUGAAGGUUUAUUUCGAUUUACAUUUGAUCAUGGCAUGGAGGAGUGGUGGGCACAGACACUGACACAUUGCAUCCAGAGUCAGUAGGCAGACAGUGUUGAAUGCCGGUGUGGGAUCCCUCUGUAGUUAGGUUGGACUUUCCAUGUUAUGUAACUUAAUCUAGAAAGUUCCUUACAGAUAUGCCCAGAAAUUUGUCUCCAUGGUGAUCCCAGAGCCUCUCAACAUAACACUUUCAAGCCAUAACCUUUCAUGCUGUGGUUCACUGCUAUCUACAGUGUGAAUAUUCAGUCCGACUUCUGAAGUCUCACAGAAUUUUUAACAGUGUUCCACCAGUGUCAUAGAAGACUCAAGGUGGCCUCCUAGCUGUAAAUCCCUAUAAAAUCAUAACUCACACACUUCAAAUACACAGUAGCUCUGAAUAUACUUUCCCAUUUCAAAAGAAAAGAACGGAGCCUAGAACAGAGCUAUUGGGUCAAAGCAAGACCAAGCGCAGCAGUGAAAACACCAGAUUUUAGCUCUGGGGCCUGCAGCUGGGGCUCAUGGUGGGACCACCUGAGCUCCACAAGGCAUGAGUACCCCCAGCCCUUUAUCUGUUUUGCCUAUCACGCGGCCUCUCUCCUAGCUGGCUCUGCUAGGUGCCUGCAGCUUUCCUCAGUGGAUGUCGCAUGGUCCUGGCCUUCUAGUGUCUCUCCAUUACAAGUCAGGUGUCACCUUCACAGUGUCACCCAGGGCAUCUUCAGGGUUUUCUUACAGGAACCCCUCCCUUGCCACACAUGGCCUGGCUUCAGCAACACUCUUUAACUGUGACUUAAAUCUUCUUGACCCCCACAGUCCCAUGUCUUUCAUGACUAAAAACUCAGUACUAUGUUACUAAUUCUGCCA